UACGUAGGGUGCAAGCGUUAAUCGGAAUUACUGGGCGUAAAGCGUGCGCAGGCGGUUGUGUAAGACAGAUGUGAAAUCCCCGGGCUCAACCUGGGAACUGCAUUUGUGACUGCACAGUUGGAGUGCGGCAGAGGGGGAUGGAAUUCCGCGUGUAGCAGUGAAAUGCGUAGAUAUGCGGAGGAACACCGAUGGCGAAGGCAAUCCCCUGGGCCUGCACUGACGCUCAUGCACGAAAGCGUGGGGAGCAAACAGG
rnacentral:rRNA from 1 species